UACGAACGCUGGCGGCGUGCCUAAUACAUGCAAGUAGAACGCAGUUUCGAACGCGUGAGUAACGCGUAGGUAACUGCCCGGUAGCGGGGGAUAACUCUUGGAAACGCUAGCUAAUACCCCAUACUCCCAGAUGGACCUGCGUUGUAUUAGCUAGUUGGUGAGGUAACGGCUCACAAAGGCAACGAUACAUAGCCGAACUGGGAGGGGGAUCGGCCAAACUGGGACUGAGAAACGGCCCAGAAUCCUACGGGAGGCAGCAGUAGGGAAACGUCGGGAAUGGGGGGAAGCCUGACCGGGCAACGCCGGGUGGGUGGAGAAGGGUUUCGGAUCGGAAAGCUCUGUUGUUAAGAAAGCGGUACUUAACCAGAAAGGGACGGCUAACUACGUGCCAGCAGCCGCGGUAAUUC
rnacentral:rRNA from 1 species